UACGGAGGGGGCUAGCGUUGUCCGAAGUUACUGGGCGUAAAGCGCGCGUAGGCGGGUUGGUAAGUCCGCUGUGAAAGCCCGGAGCUCAACUCCGGAGGGUCGGUGGAUACUGCCAGUCUUGAAGGUGCUAGGGGGAGAUGGAAUUACCGGUGUAGCGGUGAAAUGCGUAGAUAUCGGUAGGAACACCAGAGGCGAAGGCGGCUACCUGGACAAUUGCUGACGCUCAGGCACGAAAGCGUGGGGAGCAAAAGGG
rnacentral:rRNA from 1 species